UAAUGUGGCUACUAGAAAAUUUAAAAUUACCAUGAAGCCUGAAUUAUAUUUCUAUUGGACAGUUCUAUUCUAGAAGGAUGUCUUGUGGCCAAAAAAGAAGUCUGAGCAGUGUAUGGUUCUGAAAAGACUAAUCGUGAUGUAUACUGUCUUUGUGAGGCAAGGACUGAAGACAUAAUAGAGGAUGAGCCAAGUGUCGUUAAACCCAUGAAUUACAAAAAUUCUGAUGGCUCACAUGGGAGCACAAAUAUAGUCAGGAGGAACCUGGAAGGUAUUGGUGGUGAUUCUAAAAUGAAAGAAAACUUUUACCUCUAGAAGAGCAUCAGCUGAAUCGUGGAGACAGAGGACCAGGGUCCCUACUCGGGCCAUAUUGUUGACAUAUGAAAAGAGUAAACUUGAACUUCUCUGGGAUGUAAAUACCAGGAUUGGCUGUAACAGUGAUCUACUUGAAGCCUUGGAGAAAGAGAACUACUCCCCUACAGACCAUUCAUGGCAAGACAAAUCAGCCACAAUGAAAAACAUAUCAUGAACUGAAAGAGAGAGAAAGAGAGCAAGUGUGUGGGCACACACACCCUCUUUAUUCAGCAGCUAUUGAUGUCAUACAGUUUGGGGUUUGAAAGGUCAACUUCAAAGACUUUUAAAUAGUUUUAAAACAUUUAGACAAUGGUCUUUGUUUAGAUCCUGAACGUAAGUAAUGAUAAUCCAUAAGUAAUGAAAUAUUGCUAUUAGGUCCUUUUACCAUUUAUUUGAUUGUAUAGUUUCCAUGUUGAAAAAAUUUCCAAAUACUUGAUCUUCAACUUAUAUAACUUGAACCUACAAAGCUAUGGAUAUUUCUACUUUUCAAAUUCCUAUGAUACAGACGCUCUUAAGAGCAUCUUUUUAUGUUUUAUAAAAUCAAGCUUUAAAUGACAAUCAUGAAAUAAAGUUAAAUGUGUAUGUUUAAAAAAAAUGUUUAAACGGUUCUGUGUAUACUUUGGUGAACUUUUCCAGAGGUUGUUUUUUCUGCCUUGGAAAGUGCCAAACAUUUAUUGAUAACCAUACAUAUUGAUUUAUUACUAGAAUAAACAAUGUAUUAGUUUCCUAAAUAAGGUUGGAUAAUUUUAAAAAUGAAAUGCAACUAUUUCUCUUAUUUUCAGUUAACCUAGUCUUCAAAUCUGCCAUGUUGCAUUGAUGGUGGCUAUCAUUGUUGGAAGAAUCAUCUGUCUUGCAUCAGUUAAUUCUAACUCCCCACAGAACUGCAGAACUGAGUCUUGCAAACUCCUGCACCUCUUGACUUCCCACUAUGCUUUUUCCUCCAUAACCACAUUCCCAUCUAGUUCUCAGCUCAGUGGCAGAGGAAAUGAUGACCACGGUCUGAGUUGAAUGAGUGAUUAUGUACAGACUCAACUGACUAGUUUUACCUACUUCUCCUAAUUUUCUCUGAUGUUUUUGUAGUUUUUAGGAUUUUCCUAAAUCAUUAAAGUUGGAAAAUACCAAAAUGCUUUAGGUAUAUAAUAAAAAUUGUUCUGAUAAUGUUUUCCACUAGAAGAUGAAACCUCUUCUCUCUAGGCUGUUACCAGAGAUUUACCAGGUUCCAUUACCUCGAAUACAGUGUUCUACCAGACAAUAGAUACUUCAAAACAGUGGAUCAAUUAAAGUGAGAUAACCUAUCAACUGAUAUAUUAAACUGUUUUCUAAACAUAAUUAAAUGAAGACAUACAGCACUUAAUUCAACAGUUCUAGGAGUUUCUGUUUGCGGGCACUGAAUACACCGUGAGAUUUUAAAGUCUAACUAGCUGAGCACCUAACCAGAACACCACUUUCUACAUUUCCCAUUGUUCACCCUUGAAUGAUUGCUCUUGAUUCUCUGAAAGAGAACAAGAGUUUUUCUCUAUUUAAUUUUUAAGUGAAUAAAUAUAAAUUGAUUAAAACACUUCUGGAGGAUUAGGACCAUUUUAUAAUUGUUUCCUAAUUCGUAUCUGAUAAUAAACGUCAAUAAACAAUAAACGCCCUUGGCAAUAUAGCAAGGCUCCCCUAAAAACAAAAGCCUUGUUUUUCAGACAAAGUUUGCUUUGUGAAGAUGAUUUCUGCAUAUAAAUCCCCUGGUCCUAGAAAACAUUUAUUACUGAGGGGCUCAGAGUU